rnacentral:rRNA from 1 species
CCUACGGGUGGCUGCAGUGAGGAAUAUUGGUCAAUGGCCGGGAGGCUGAACCAGCCAAGUCGCGUGAGGGAAGACGGCCCUACGGGUUGUAAACCUCUUUUGUCAGGGAGCAAGGUGCAGGUCGGGAACUGCUGUGAGAGUAACUGAAGAAAAAGCAUCGGCUAACUCCGUGCCAGCAGCCGCGGUAAUACGGAGGAUGCGAGCGUUAUCCGGAUUGAUUGGGUUCAAAGGGUGCGUAGGCGGCGGCACAAGUCAGCGGUAAAAUCGCGGGGCUCAACCCCGCUCCGCCGUUGAGACUGUCUGCCUUGAGUGCACGAAGGGUAGGCGGAAUGCGUGGUGUAGCGGUGAAAUGCAUAGAUAUCACGCAGAACUCCGAUCGCGAAGGCAGCCUACCGACGCACGACUGACGCUGAUGCACGAAAGCGUGGGUAUCGAACAGGAUUAGAUACCCCAGUAGUC